UCGCCAACGCGGAAACGUAGCCAUUCUUGUUUUGUUUGAAUGGUUGUAUGCGUGUUUGUUUGUGCGCUUGUUUGUUUGUGCGAGUGACCGUUGUGAGCGUGAGAAUGCAAGAGAGAGUGUGAGUGAUCGUUUUAUGUUUGUAAGUCUAGCCACCAAAAAAAAAACUACACAGUGAUCUUAUUUGAUCUGGUCGGGGUUUGGCCUUGUUCCGAUUCGGAAAUGAUAAUACCCGAUAUGCGAGCCUCUGAGGCCAUGAGCAUGAAGCUUCGACUAACUUAAGGGCCUCCACAAGAAAUUGUGGUCAGAAGUGAUGACUCGAUCAGAUAUACUAGUGCCGAGGAGAUUUGUGGUUUUACCGCAUUCUCCACACCGGCCAAUGAGUAUAACAGCGAUUCUGAUCUGC